rnacentral:rRNA from 1 species
UACGGAGGGUGCAAGCGUUGUCCGGAUUUAUUGGGUUUAAAGGGUGCGUAGGCGGUAUUGUAAGUCAGUGGUGAAAUCUUGCGGCUUAACCGUAAAAUUGCCAUAGAUACUGCAGUACUUGAGUCCGUUUGAGGUGGUUGGAAUGCGUAGUGUAGCGGUGAAAUGCAUAGAUAUUACGCAGAACACCUAUUGCGAAGGCAGAUCACUAAGACGGUACUGACGCUGAGGCACGAAAGCGUGGGGAGCGAACAGG